rnacentral:rRNA from 1 species
AGAGUUUGAUCCUGGCUCAGAUUGAACGCUGGCGGCAUGCCUUACACAUGCAAGUCGAACGGCAGCGCGGGGGCAACCCUGGCGGCGAGUGGCGAACGGGUGAGUAAUAUAUCGGAACGUACCCUGGAGUGGGGGAUAACGUAGCGAAAGUUACGCUAAUACCGCAUACGAUCUAAGGACGAAAGUGGGGGAUCGCAAGACCUCAUGCUCCUGGAGAGGCCGAUAUCUGAUUAGCUAGUUGGUAGGGUAAAAGCCUACCAAGGCAUCGAUCAGUAGCUGGUCUGAGAGGACGACCAGCCACACUGGAACUGAGACACGGUCCAGACUCCUACGGGAGGCAGCAGUGGGGAAUUUUGGACAAUGGGCGCAAGCCUGAUCCAGCAAUGCCGCGUGAGUGAAGAAGGCCUUCGGGUUGUAAAGCUCUUUUGUCAGGGAAGAAACGGUGGAGGCUAAUAUCCUCUGCUAAUGACGGUACCUGAAGAAUAAGCACCGGCUAACUACGUGCCAGCAGCCGCGGUAUACGUAGGUGCAAGCGAUAAUCGGAUUACUGGGCGUAAAGCGUGCGCAGCGGUAUGUAAGUUUGUCGUGAAUCCCCGGGCUCACCUGGAUGGCGAUGAGACUGCAAGGCUAGAUCUGGCAGAGGGGGGUAGAAUUCCACGUGUAGCAGUGAAUGCGUAGAGAUGUGGAGGAACACCGAUGGCGAAGGCAGCCCCAUGGGUCAAGAUUGACGCUCAUGCACGAAAGCGUGGGGAGCAAACAGGAUUAGAUACCCUGGUAGUCCACGCCCUAAACGAUGUCUACUAGUUGUCGGGUUUUAAUUAACUUGGUAACGCAGCUAACGCGUGAAGUAGACCGCCUGGGGAGUACGGUCGCAAGAUUAAAACUCAAAGGAAUUGACGGGGACCCGCACAAGCGGUGGAUGAUGUGGAUUAAUUUGAUGCAACGCGAAAAACCUUACCUACCCUUGACAUGGCAGGAAUCCUUGAGAGAUCAGGGAGUGCUCGAAAGAGAACCUGCACACAGGUGCUGCAUGGCUGUCGUCAGCUCGUGUCGUGAGAUGUUGGGUUAAGUCCCGCAACGAGCGCAACCCUUGUCAUUAGUUGCUACGAAAGAGCACUCUAAUGAGACUGCCGGUGACAAACCGGAGGAAGGUGGGGAUGACGUCAAGUCCUCAUGGCCCUUAUGGGUAGGGCUUCACACGUCAUACAAUGGUACAUACAGAGGGCCGCCAACCCGCGAGGGGGAGCUAAUCCCAGAAAGUGUAUCGUAGUCCGGAUUGUAGUCUGCAACUCGACUACAUGAAGUUGGAAUCGCUAGUAAUCGCGGAUCAGCAUGUCGCGGUGAAUACGUUCCCGGGUCUUGUACACACCGCCCGUCACACCAUGGGAGCGGGUUUUACCAGAAGUAGGUAGCUUAACCGCAAGGAGGGCGCUUCCCACGGUAGGAUUCGUGACUGGGGUGAAGUCGUAACAAGGUAACC